ensembl:snRNA U6 U6 spliceosomal RNA
GUGCUCACUUCAACAGCACAUAGACUAAAAUUGGAAUGAGACACAGAUGAUUAACAUGUCUGCUGCACAAGGAUGACAUGCAAAUUCAUGAAUUGUUCCAUUAAAAA